CUUUUGUUAGUUCUAAAAAUACUAGUGAAUAAGGGGUGGGCAAGUUCUGGUGUCAGCCGCCGCGGUAAAACCAGCACCUCAAGUGGUCAGGAGGAUUAUUGGGCCUAAAGCAUCCGUAGCCUGUUCUAUAAGUUUGCGGUUAAAUCUAUACGCUCAACGUAUAGGCUGCCGUAAAUACUGUAGAACUAGGGAGUGGGAGAGGUAGACGGUACUCGAUAGGAAGGGGUAAAAUCCUUUGAUCUAUUGAUGACCACCUGUGGCGAAGGCGGUCUACCAGAACACGUUCGACGGUGAGGGAUGAAAGCUGGGGGAGCAAACCGGAUUAGAUACCCGGGCAGUCCCAGCUGUAAACGAUGCAGACUCGAUGAUGCAAUGGCAUAGAGCUAUUGCAGUAUCGCAGGGAAGCCGUUAAGUCUGCCGCCUGGGAAGUACGUACGCAAGUAUGAAACUUAAAGGAA
rnacentral:rRNA from 1 species